rnacentral:rRNA from 1 species
UACGUAGGGUGCGAGCGUUGUCCGGAAUUACUGGGCGUAAAGAGCUCGUAGGUGGUUUGUCGCGUUGUUCGUGAAAACCGGGGGCUUAACCCUCGGCGUGCGGGCGAUACGGGCAGACUUGAGUACUGCAGGGGUGACUGGAAUUCCUGGUGUAGCGGUGGAAUGCGCAGAUAUCAGGAGGAACACCGGUGGCGAAGGCGGGUCUCUGGGCAGUAACUGACGCUGAGGAGCGAAAGCGUGGGGGGCGAACAGG